rnacentral:rRNA from 1 species
UACAGGGGGGGCAAGCGUUGUUCGGAAUUACUGGGCGUAAAGGGUCUGUAGGUGGCCAACUAAGUCAGACGUGAAAUCCCUCAGCUUAACUGGGGAACUGCGUCUGAUACUGGAUGGCUUGAGUGUGGGAGAGGAAUGCGGAAUUCCAGGUGUAGCGGUGAAAUGCGUAGAUAUCUGGAGGAACACCGGUGGCGAAGGCGGCGAUCUGGCCCAACACUGACACUGAGACCCGAAAGCGUGGGGAUCAAACAGG